GACGUAGGGCGCGAGCGUUGUCCGGAUUUACUGGGCGUAAAGGGCUCGUAGGCGGCCAACUAAGUCAGACGUGAAAUCCCUCGGCUUAACCGGGGAACUGCGUCUGAUACUGGAUGGCUUGAGUUCGGGAGAGGGAUGCGGAAUUCCAGGUGUAGCGGUGAAAUGCGUAGAUAUCUGGAGGAACACCGGUGGCGAAGGCGGCAUCCUGGACCGACACUGACGCUGAUGAGCGAAAGCCAGGGGAGCAAACGGG
rnacentral:rRNA from 1 species